rnacentral:rRNA from 1 species
ACGCUGGCGGCAGGCCUAACACAUGCAAGUCGAACGGUAACAGGAAGAAGCUUGCUUCUUUGCUGACGAGUGGCGGACGGGUGAGUAAUGUCUGGGAAACUGCCUGAUGGAGGGGGAUAACUACUGGAAACGGUAGCUAAUACCGCAUAACGUCGCAAGACCAAAGAGGGGGACCUUCGGGCCUCUUGCCAUCGGAUGUGCCCAGAUGGGAUUAGCUUGUUGGUGGGGUAACGGCUCACCAAGGCGACGAUCCCUAGCUGGUCUGAGAGGAUGACCAGCCACACUGGAACUGAGACACGGUCCAGACUCCUACGGGAGGCAGCAGUGGGGAAUAUUGCACAAUGGGCGCAAGCCUGAUGCAGCCAUGCCGCGUGUAUGAAGAAGGCCUUCGGGUUGUAAAGUACUUUCAGCGGGGAGGAAGGGAGUAAAGUUAAUACCUUUGCUCAUUGACGUUACCCGCAGAAGAAGCACCGGCUAACUUCGUGCCAGCAGCCGCGGUAAUACGGAGGGUGCAAGCGUUAAUCGGAAUUACUGGGCGUAAAGCGCACGCAGGCGGUUUGUUAAGUCAGAUGUGAAAUCCCCGGGCUCAACCUGGGAACUGCAUCUGAUACUGGCAAGCUUGAGUCUCGUAGAGGGGGGUAGAAUUCCAGGUGUAGCGGUGAAAUGCGUAGAGAUCUGGAGGAAUACCGGUGGCGAAGGCGGCCCCCUGGACGAAGACUGACGCUCAGGUGCGAAAGCGUGGGGGGCAAACAGGAUUAGAUACCCUGGUAGUCCACGCCGUAAACGAUGUCGACUUGGAGGUUGUGCCCUUGAGGCGUGGCUUCCGGAGCUAACGCGUUAAGUCGACCGCCUGGGGAGUACGGCCGCAAGGUUAAAACUCAAAUGAAUUGACGGGGGCCCGCACAAGCGGUGGAGCAUGUGGUUUAAUUCGAUGCAACGCGAAGAACCUUACCUGGUCUUGACAUCCACAGAACUUUCCAGAGAUGGAUUGGUGCCUUCGGGAACUGUGAGACAGGUGCUGCAUGGCUGUCGUCAGCUCGUGUUGUGAAAUGUUGGGUUAAGUCCCGCAACGAGCGCAACCCUUAUCCUUUGUUGCCAGCGGUCCGGCCGGGAACUCAAAGGAGACUGCCAGUGAUAAACUGGAGGAAGGUGGGGAUGACGUCAAGUCAUCAUGGCCCUUACGACCAGGGCUACACACGUGCUACAAUGGCGCAUACAAAGAGAAGCGACCUCGCGAGAGCAAGCGGACCUCAUAAAGUGCGUCGUAGUCCGGAUUGGAGUCUGCAACUCGACUCCAUGAAGUCGGAAUCGCUAGUAAUCGUGGAUCAGAAUGCCACGGUGAAUACGUUCCCGGGCCUUGUACACACCGCCCGUCACACCAUGGGAGUGGGUUGCAAAAGAAGUAGGUAGCUUAACCUUCGGGAGGGCGCUUACCACUUUGUGAUUCAUGACUG